GACGGAGGGGGCAAGCGUUGUCCGGAAUUACUGGGCGUAAAGGGCGCGUAGGCGGUUUGGUACGGCGGUGGUGAAAGCUCCCGGCUCAACUGGGAGAGGCCCGCCGCAACGGCUGAACUCGAGGGUGGUAGAGGCGGAUGGAAUUCCUGGUGUAGCGGUGAAAUGCGUAGAGAUCAGGAGGAACACCCGUGGCGAAGGCGGUCCGCUGGGCCAUGCCUGACGCUGAGGCGCGAAAGCUAGGGGAGCGAACGGGAUUAGAUACCCCGGUAGUCCUAGCCGUAAACGAUGGUCACUAGGUGUCUGUGGUAUCGACCCCAUGGGUGCCGGAGCUAACGCGUGAAGUGACCCGCCUGGGGAGUACGGCCGCAAGGUUGAAACUCAAAGGAAUUGACGGGGGCCCGCACAAGCGGUGGAGUAUGUGGUUUAAUUCGAUGCAACGCGAAGAACCUUACCAGGGCUUGACAUCCCGGGAACCCUGCCGAAAGGUGGGGGUGCCCUUCGGGGAGCCCGGAGACAGGUGGUGCAUGGCU
rnacentral:rRNA from 1 species